rnacentral:ncRNA from 1 species
AUUAAGGUGAAACCGCGAAAGGCUCAUUAAAUCAGUUGUGGUUCCUUAGAUCGUACCCAAGUUACUUGGAUAACUGUGGUAAUUCUAGAGCUAAUACAUGCCGACAGAGUUCCGACCGUCGCGGCGCCCUCGGGCGUCGCUCGCGGGAGGAACGCUUUUAUUAGAUCAAAACCGGCCCGUCGCGGCGCGCUUCGUGCGCGUCCCGAUCGCGGCCCGCGCAAAGACCUGGUGACUCUGAAUAACUUCGAGCUGAUCGCACGGUCUCCGUACCGGCGACGCAUCUUUCAAAUGUCUGCCUUAUCAACUGUCGAUGGUAGGUUCCAUGCCUACCAUGGUGGUAACGGGUAACGGGGAAUCAGGGUUCGAUUCCGGAGAGGGAGCCUGAGAAACGGCUACCACAUCCAAGGAAGGCAGCAGGCGCGCAAAUUACCCACUCCCGGAACGGGGAGGUAGUGACGAAAAAUAACGAUACGGGACUCAUCCGAGGCCCCGUAAUCGGAAUGAGAACACUUUAAAACCUUUAAACGAGGAUCAAUUGGAGGGCAAGUCUGGUGCCAGCAGCCGCGGUAAUUCCAGCUCCAAUAGCGUAUAUUAAAGUUGUUGCGGUUAAAAAGCUCGUAGUCGGAUCUGUGUCUGGACGGUGCCGGACCACCCUGGCGGUCCGUCGUGUCGCGACCGGCCGUGUCGCGGGACCACGUGUCCCGUCGGCGCGGUCGCCGUCGCGCUCGUCAGCCGUCUCGGGGUGUUAGUUACCGGCACGUCUGCCGGACGUAUUGUCGGCAGGCGGACACGUGUCUCGUGCUUCCGGCGCGCCGCGCGGCCACGCGUCGCGCGGCCGUCGGUGUUCGACGACGGCGGUCGCCUAC